UACACAACAUGAGUGAGUUAAACGAUGAUGAUCUGAAGAAGAAGACGAAGAAGAGGAGAGGCUUGUUGUUGCAGGCGGGAUUCUUGUUCAUUUUGCAGUUCCGAGGAGAGCUAUGGAAUCCAACAGCAUCAAGACAUUGCGGAAAACGACCUGAUCUUAAGCUCUUGUGACGGUAGUUCAAGGAUGCUAAAGGAGUGAGGAAAUUUUACGUUCGACUCUUCGAUACACGCAGCUUUUGGAACAAUUCGAAGGAACAUGUUAAGUCCAGCGAGUUCGAGAACUGUCCCUCUCCAUGUUAUCAUGCAUUCUGACCGCCUUCCCAUGCCGAUUGGUAUCUGAUGAAUUUCUUGGAGGGCUUUUCUUGGAGAGCCAAGUUAAAGAUAUAUCAGAGCUGACAUCUCUUGUAUUAAAUUAAUUCCAUUCUCUGGUUUCUCAGUGUCUUCGUUCAUGAGGAUCGAUGUUGUAUAUUCAGCUUUGUUUCAGGAACUCCUUGUCGAAGUUUACGUGUCGGUCGUUUAGGAGUUAGCUAUGGCUAUAUGGCUCUUUUGACUCAUCUUUAUGUCUUCUCAAGAACUUGCUACAGUCUCGUGGGAGUUAGAUUUCUAGUGUGGUUGCUUUCUGUGCAUUUCAAAUUGAGGUUUUCUUUUUCUCAUGUUCAAACGAAGUUCGUCUCUACUGAUAGAAAUCAGAGCUAAGAUGACAUUGCAAAUCUUGCAAGUUCGAAGGGCCGGAUGUGCAACUGUCUCUACCUUCAAUCACAAAGGCUUUUUCGAAAGUGCCACUAGUUUUGCACGAAUGUUGCAUUUGGCUGCGGAUUAAUUGUGCCCUGGAUAUUGAGCUAGCAACUCCCUUUCACCUCGAUUUUUGUUAUAAUGAGAUUGAGGGCAUAUUUCGGGUAAAUUCAACGUCCGAACCGUUGAAUGAGCUGUGUUUCCGUGAUGCCAUGGAUUCCGCACGAUGCACAUACCUCGAGUUCCUAUCGUAGGUCAUUAUAUGCAAGUAGAUUAGAGCGGCUCUUGUUUUGUUCAAAAAAAAGGUCCAGAAAGUUGCUCUGCAUGGCAGCACUCCUUGCAGCGGUUAUUUUCAAAUUUUUCGUCCACAGUUCUCUCGUUUGCUGUAUCAUACGGAUUCCAAUGUCAUUUGACGAGCCCUUUUCUCUUCCUACGAUUUUCAUUUAUUCUCUCGAAAAUUGUAGCUACAACUGUAGUCCGACAAAGUGUCCAUUGACAAAUGCCAAAUGUAUAAAUCACGUCCAGAGAAAUCCAGCGGACUAUGAAACAGUGGUUCGUGAUUUCAAAACGUAAUGUACCUCUCUCAUUCACGAAACAGCUCCGUCAUCAUUCCUAGGGCUUGUGUGUAUUUGGUAAUUACCAAGUCGUUUGCAGUCCUGAAAACAGUAAUGAAUGUCUGUGUUAUGAACUGCAUAUUCGUGCGGCCUCGACUGCCACAGCGAUCACAUCUUGUGUGCAGAGUUUCCACAUGAGUUGCUACUGGUCUACAUCUUGAUGGCUGCUGUAUACGGCAAGGAAGUUGCAUCAAUUUCACGGAGCUUCAUUGAAGUGACUGGACCCGGUGUGACCUUUUCUACCAUAGAGAUGCUUUGGCAAAAGUUCAGAUUGCAGGUGUUCCAUAGUACUGGAUUACUAUCACCAAGCUCGGAACUCACAUGCCAGUCCAUGUAAAAAAGGCAGGAGAGUUCCGCGGCAGCAAGGGAUUGCUGGACGCUACCAAUCGAUUGGGGUACCGGCCUGCACAUCAUCUGUGCACAUGUUGAUUGAACGUCAGGAACGAUGUACACUUGGCGGUAGAAGAUGCAACCAUGAAUUCAGUGCCGCCGUCGCAUCCCAUCAUACAAUUAUCGACUUCCCAUCGAAGCGGCCAUCCUGACACUUAAGGACGACCGAGUGUCUCUGUUGAUUGUCAUUGGAGCGGUCAAUGUUGCUGAUUCUAGUACAGUUUGUCGGUCUCAUUCAGCUGAGGAUGGUGUCUAGUGGAUGGUGUCUUAGGAAGCUCAACAGAUUUAUCAUUUGUACAGAAUUUGAAGGGAUACUGAGUUAAGCAGCUGCGGCUGCAAUGCGCUGCAACCAAGCAAUCAGAAAAUUGGAGAAAGAUCCAAGGACGUACAUUACUGACGAAAUCUACUCAAAUCUAGGUAGGCAAAGCGUAAGGAAAGAGGAAACCAAAAGCAGAACUUUCCCGAGAGAAUUCCGCGUUUCAUGGAUUCACUCAGACAUCAACUGCCGACGCCAUCGGUCAUGCUUAUUUCUUCUGAUGGAUGUAUGUACUCAAACUGAUCCGAGCAGUCCCAUGGAUCAGUUGCUACAUUUUCAAACUCAGCAUCUACGGGUAGAUUCGGUCAUGCUCUCGAGACCUAAACUUCAAGGGACAUGUGUUCCAAGUCGAUGCAUCAUCGCAGUAUUCGUCAAAUUCCAGCGGUUCCCGUUAACGACAAUCCAAAAUCUGCCUCAGAGUUUGGAGGGAGAGUGUUGGACGCAUUGUAGGAACCGACUACAUCAGUAGCUGCAGAAGUCAAGAAGCCAUGGAACAACCGGCAGAUUGUGUGAGGAGUUGAAACAAGUUCCACCCUGUAGCUGGGCCCAUGGUGUUGAAACUCAUGACACCAUUGCUUAGCCAGUAAUUAUUCCCGCUUUUCUCCUUCAACUCUACCUCCUCACUGUCUCGACGCCAUUGUCUUUUACGACAGCAAUCCCCCAACAGUCCUCUGAGCCCGGAGGAGUCUGCACAGCAUCUCCACCAGGUGAGGAGGUUUGUGACCUUCAGUUGACUACCUGAACUUCAUUCGUAUUAUAAUUAGAGUUGACCUAUUCACGCUAAAUAUCUCGUGUAAUGCUAUUUGCACCACAAAUAUCUCUGGUUGAGAUUCUACUGACUAAUUCUACUGGUGAUGCUAUUUGCACUGAGUAUCUGAGUUGAUACUUUUCACUCUAAAUAUCUUUGCUGAUUACUAGUGUCAUGCAAA